CUUCUCUUCCCACAAUGCACAGCGGCACACUGCGCUUUAUAAAUGUAUGCGUGACUUCCGCUCUGCCUCUCUGUCUGCUAGAAGCAUGCUGUACAGACGGCUGUGCGGCUCGGUGCCCCGUAAGAGAGGCUGCGUCCCAGACUGAACACACUUCAAGGCAGAGCGACAGCCAUGGGAUAGGGCUACCAACCUCCUGCCUUGCCUUUGGGACUGAAGGUAGAGCCUCUGAUGAGCUGCUCAGUGCAGAGCUGACGGGUCACGCUGCAGGCUGACUGAGGGUGCAUGUGGAGCAACUGGCCUGCACGGGGCAAAACAAGGGACUGAGACUCACCCUCAGGCUGGUCUGAAUGAGUGAAGUUCCUGUGGGCUGCUGAUGGUCAUGUUUCAGCCACGUGUACUCAACCUAACUGAGGUUGAGGCUGUAAAUAGAACUUGUUCUGUACAUUUUGUUGGAUAAUGUCCUGAAGGAAUCACUUGACAUCUACAUGAAAUUAUGUCAGCCUUAAUAGAAUAUAAAAUCUGUGGUCUGUGAAUCAAGAAGAAAUGUGUAUAAUAAAUAAAAAAUGUGAUCUUGCAUCACCUUGAUCAUCCACGUUAGUGAUUUGUCAUCGGAGUUAAAUUAAAGGCCUGGAGAAAAGAUGGGUGUAAUUGAAUGUGUACUUUAUUUACAAUAAAAGCCAUUAUUGGACCAAA